CUUUUUAAUGUAGCGACAAUAAUUUCGAAAAGAUUUUAACCAAAUUUAAUAUUCAAAGUAUAUAUUUCAAAUAAAAGUGAGCAAAUAUAUGAACUCCUUCAUUCAAAUGUUUGUAGUAUUACAUAAUUGCAUAACAGAGUACCUCCUUUCUAUUGGUACUAAAAGGGAGCAACAUGUACUGUGACUAUACAAAUUAAGACAAUAUUUUCUAAAAACCAUAAUAAAACUAAAAUUGGACACUUUUGGUGUAAAUAGUAAAUUUCCUUUCAUCGCCUCCAAUCUUGAAUUGGUUGCAAAAUCAUAUGAAGAAGCACCUAUAACAUGCCUUCUGUUACUUUUCAAUGAUCUUUAUCAAUUCCAACAUUUCUUUGAUCGUAAUCCCUUUUCAUCGUAUUGCUCCAAUGCAAAACCUGCUACACCAAAUUAAUCAAUAGUUGAACAAAAACAGAACUACAAUGUCACUAUAACUUUGCUAACAACACACCCUCUAUACACUAGAAUGCAUAUUGCCAUUACAAAAUUAGAGUAUCACUGUUAUCUCUAAUGUAAAUGUACCAAAUUACAUCUAGCCAUUUCAUUGAAAAUUCAAUUUCCUAUUUGAACUAUUUAUUAGGAAUAUGAGAAUAAGUGAUGGUUCCUUUUAUAUACUCAACAAACCUGCUCCUAGACUACAACAACUCUUAAAUAAAAACAACAAUAUACCUAGACAUCCUCUAAAAAGUAAAGGGCUGCAAAACCAAACACAGUGGUGUCUACAUUGCUAAAUAAUGAAAAAUAAUAAAAGAACAAGAAAACCAAAUCAAUUAAUUAACAAACUAUAUCAAGAAAUCUACCCAUGUUUCAUAUAUGUAAUAGAAGAAAUUAUAUCACCUGUGAAAUGAGAAGUUGGGUCCAAUUUAGAGUAAUCUUUGAUUCUUCUUCCUUUGUAGGCAACUCACUCAAAUAGCAAGUCUAUGAAUCACAAAAAAUAGUUUUACUAUUACUAAUUUAAUUACACUUCAAAUUAUGCUAAAAAAAGAUAUUAAAAAGGCUGUAAAGCCUUCUUAAUUUGUCAGGAAAUGCCUAACCAGUUAGUAAUUGAGCUGCAUUAUUCACCAACACCAAAGUAGUUUGUUUUAAGGCAUGUUUCAGUUAAUUCCUCCUUCUCACUUAGUUGUGAUGCAUUAUUCACCUACACCAAAUGUUAACAUUUCAUACAAUUGAUUAUCAAUUGGUUUCUUUUGGAAGGAAAAAAGCAACGAGAUAUAAGAAGUAAUUUGACAUUUCAAUAUCAAUUUCAUAUUCAAUAUUAUCCUCAUUAUUGUGAAGAAUGCAACAACUACCUAUAUUGUACAUAUCAAAAACUUCACAUCUCAAUUCCAUUUAUGAAAACAAGUCCCCCCGUCAUUGGUUUAUAUCUCUCAGAGCAUUACCAAUAUGUAUAGCAUACACAACAUCAUUGCAUCAUCAUUUUUCAUGAGUUUUUAGUCAAGGUGAAUUGGUUCAUUCGUACUCCAAUCAUGAGUUUUCACUCAACGUGAAUUGGAUCAUUCAUAAAACCACUAUCCUCUACAUACUAAGUAUUAACUAGUAAUUAGUAUUUAGUAAUCAACUAUAUUUCACAAAAAACCAGCAAACCCAAAACCAAAAUCUAGAAAGUAUAAACAAUUAUCAUAAACCUAUACACACCAAAAACCAACAAAUUGUGCCAUUCAAAUACGGCCAAAUCUUGAUAGGUUUGAAGGUUAACAAAAUAUGAAAAACAUGCAAAUAAUAAUCAGACAAAUUAACAUCAAGCUUCUAACUGAGCCAAGAACAGAGAAAUUUAGUUUAGGAUGAAAGAGGAUGUUAGGUUUUUGGCACAAUUUAGGGAAAACCCAAUCUAAGUUGGAGUCGAUAAAGAGACUCACUGAUAUAAGAAGUUGAUGUUGGUCAACACUGUGGAAAAUACCUGCAUAAUAGUGAGUUAAUAAAUUAGAGUGCUUCUUCCUAACAUAAGAAAAUAACACAAAACCCAGAAAAAACAAGCUAGAAGAAAAUAAGAACAAACAAACCCAGAAUAACUUACUAGAAAAAAUCCUUCAACAAAUCCAGAUCUGCAUUCUGCUAAUUCCUUCUCAGUGUUCGUGCUUAAGCUAAAGCAUACAGAUCAAUCAUGAAACCCUUAUCGUAGAAACCAACUCCGCUAGCUAAUCUAUGAAAUUAUGACGCCACUGAGACAAGGUCUCCAGAUUGAAGCCAUUGAUUUUGGUCAUAAAAAAAAUACGAGAAAGAGGAAUAGAUCAGAAACCCUAGAAAAAUAGGGAUUGAAUGGUGUAAGAGAAUAGAUUAGAAACCCUAAAAAUCUAGGGAUUGAGCGGUGAGAGAUAAUUUAUAAAGCUACAGAUUGAAGUGGAUUUUCAAUUUUGUGGUGUUUGAAGAGAUUUUUUUUCGAAACUUGCAAACGGAGGAGAAGGAAGCCACACUGUGGGGAUUUAACUCUCAAACUUGUUUUUGUGUGUGAUGGGUUUCUCUACGCCUGCCUGUGUUUGGAUGAGAUUAGUCUUUUAAUUGAAUUUGAACUAGUGUGGUAAAAAU
rnacentral:lncRNA from 1 species